AUUCUUACCUGGCAGGGGAGAUACCAUGAUCACGAAGGUGGUUUUCCCAGGGCAAGGCUUAUCCAUUGCACUCUGGAUGUGGGAAACUCGACUGCAUAUUUUGUGGUAGUGGAGGACUGCGUUCUCACUCUGCCGUG
ensembl:snRNA Gm23511 predicted gene, 23511